rnacentral:rRNA from 1 species
UACGGAGGAUCCAAGCGUUAUCCGGAUCAUUGGGUUUAAAGGGUCCGUAGGCGGUUUGGUAAGUCAGUGGUGAAAGCCCAUCGCUCAACGGUGGAACGGCCAUUGAUACUGCCAGACUUGAAUUAUUAGGAAGUAACUAGAAUAUGUAGUGUAGCGGUGAAAUGCUUAGAGAUUACAUGGAAUACCAAUUGCGAAGGCAGGUUACUACUAAUGGAUUGACGCUGAUGGACGAAAGCGUGGGUAGCGAACAGG